GCGGGGCCGCCCCACCAGCGCCUCGGCCGGGCGGGGAGCGCGGCGCUGCCCCCGGAGGCCGCGGCGGCUGUCGGGGCUGCCGUCUUGGGGCUGCCGUCAGGUGGAGUGGACACGUGGUACGGGACACUGCUUCUGUAUGUCCUUCCUCGCAGAAUCACUGAAUCGAUGGAGUUGCAAUGGCUGCCAUCUGCCAAACAAGUCAAACAGCAAGGCCUUUCUAGAGCAAACCUGCCACUGAACCCUGGCAGGACUUUUUACCUGGACAAACUUGCUCUUGAGGAUGGGAGUAGAAGUAAAAAGAACAUACUCUCCUUUGCUAAGUCUCUGAAUGUCAUACAUAAUGAGCAUCUGACUGUCCUGUACCUGUGUCCUCUGCUGUGUCUGCUGGUGAUGGGCCUGGGAGAAGCUUGGCCCAGUAUCUCCAUGAAUACAUGAGGAUGGUCUUGGCUGUCUGGCAGUUCUCCAAAGCAGUGCAACAGCAUCCUGAAAUGAGCAUAGCUGAAGAGGCUGUCAGCAACAGCAAGAAAUCUAGCUGGCAAGAAACCACAAGAAAAGAUCAGGUGUAAUAAGGAUACAGUCAAUGAUAUGUGGACAUGCAUCAAAGCUUCGCUCUUGCUGGUGACAUCAUAGCCUUCCGAUGACCAUGACAUCCACCACCUCCCCCUUGUGAAGCUCCACAUACUGCUCUGUCUUUGGAGGUAGCAUCAACAGUCCAUUGGCACUGCGCAUACUCAUCAGACGACUGCUCAUCUGAUUCCCUACAGGAGAGAGGAGGAACAAUUUCAGUGGAGUCUUCAGUUAGUUCCAAAUGUUGCAACAUAGUGCAACAAACAAAAGCUGUUAUGAUUAAAAUGUUUAUGUCUCUAAAUUAUUCAUGGAACUUGGAUCUUGCUGUUCCAAGGUGGAUGGAAACAGAAAGAACUCUGUGGAGAUUUAGUCAGCCUCUCACUGCACUGGCUCUCAAAACCAUCACUCUCGUUGCUGCUUGCUUUCCUAUCCAGCCUUCCACAUUAUCUGUACAUACACAUUAUCCCUGUAUAUUGUCCUAGUAAAUUGCUAAUCCUAUCAAAA